rnacentral:misc_RNA from 1 species
AAAUUUUGUGAUAAUGUGAAGACUCUAUUCAAGUUUAAUGAGUCGAGUAAGUGUGUUGUUCAGAAAUUGCACACUGUGAGAUUGUUAGAACUGCCUGAGCUGACAAGCAUAGGGGCUGUUUUGCCUUCUCUAGAUAUUUUUGAUCCUAGAGAAUGCCCAAAGCUGGAGGACUCGAAAGAAAGUCUCAAAAUAGGGACCGCAUCUCCUUAAAUUGCAGAAACUAUCAUAUAAGGGCCAUCUCUGCUACUUCUGUAGUUGUGGGAACAUCUGAACCAAGAAGCUUCCCAUAGUGUGAUGGAAGUUACCAGCAGAAGUUAAAUGGUUCCUGGCAUGCUUGAGGUUGGAACUCUAUCUUGAUUUGUCAC